rnacentral:rRNA from 1 species
UACGUAGGGUGCGAGCGUUGUCCGGAAUUACUGGGCGUAAAGAGCUCGUAGGUGGUUUGUCGCGUUGUUCGUGAAAACUCACAGCUUAACUGUGGGCGUGCGGGCGAUACGGGCAGACUGGAGUACUGCAGGGGAGACUGGAAUUCCCGGUGUAGUGGUGAAAUGCGUAGAUAUCGGGAGGAACACCAGUGGCGAAGGCGACUACCUGGCCUGUUUCUUGACGCUGAGGCGCGAAAGCUAGGGGAGCAAACGGG